AUUAAACAUCCUUCACAAGAGCGUAUGGACCCACCAAAAAAUAAAAACACAAACUAGAGGAGUUCCUUACAGCAUUGAAAAAUGGUGGAGUUCAGCUGGUGGUAGUUGUGAUUCCUGAUAAUGGAGAUCACUAUGCUGAGGUGAAGCAACUAGCAGAAUUGAAUGUUGGAAUAUUGACUCAGUGUGUGAAGGGAAGAACAAUGCAACUUAUGAAUCCUGCCACAUGUUCGAAUAUUCUGUUGAAAGCCAACACUAAGCUGGAUGGUGUAAACCAAAUUUUCGCUAAAAUAUCAAGAGUACGGAGAAUGUGAGUCCAAAGGAAGGUGUUUGGAGCCCAGAAGCACUCUUUAGUAGUAUGGCAUUGACUUCGUGGGCUAUCCUGAAAAUAGAUACAUGAACAACAGCAGAAGAUGUGAGGCCACCAUGUUUGAAAAACCCUGUCAUGAUAGUAGGAGCUGAUGUGACCCAUCCAUCAGCUGACCAGACUGACAUUCCUUCAGUUGCUGCGGUGAGUAUUUUGUGCUGUGAAGUUGUUUACAGUUUUAAUGUUGUAAUUUUUGUAAAUAUUUUUAAUUUAUCUGAUUUCUGUACUUCUUAUUGUCUACUUCAGAAACUAUUACCAUAUCGUAAUAUUUUCACAACACAUGUAUAUGUGUGUGUGUGUGUUAAUGUCAUAGACGUCUUCAGAUUCCCAGCUGCCGUUUUCUCCAUCCAUCGUCUUUCUCCUGUUUCUUUUUGCCAUUUCAUCCUGGGUUCCUUGCAUCCAUUCCACUCUUGGUUUUACUCUAUUAUUCCUUUCUGGUGGCAUCUGCUUUAGCACUUGUUUAGGCCAUCUGUUAUCUGCUAUAUAAUCAAGAUAAAUAAAACAGCCAUUUUUUCAUUUGCCUUAUUAUUA